rnacentral:rRNA from 1 species
AGAGGGUGCAAGCGUUAAUCGGAAUUACUGGGCGUAAAGCGCACGUAGGUGGUUGCUUAAGUCAGAUGUGAAAGCCCUGGGCUCAACCUGGGAAUUGCAUUUGAUACUGGGCAACUUGAGUAUGGUAGAGGGAAGUGGAAUUUCCGGUGUAGCGGUGAAAUGCGUAGAUAUCGGAAGGAACAUCAGUGGCGAAGGCGGCUUCCUGGACUAAUACUGACACUGAGGUGCGAAAGCGUGGGUAGCAAACAGGAUUAGAUACCCUGGUAGUCCACGCCGUAAACGAUGAGAACUAGCUGUUGGGGGCCUUCGGGUCUUAGUAGCGUAGCUAACGCGUUAAGUUCUCCGCCUGGGGAGUACGGCCGCAAGGUUA